CCGGGACCCCGCGGAGCAGCAGGAAUCCCUGAUUCAGAGCCUCCAAUUUAGAGGACGCUGGACCCUGCAGAGAUCCAUCCAAGCAGAAGACCAGAGAUCCUGCCAAGCAAAUUGAACCACUGAGAAGUAUGCUCCUGGUGUGAGCUGAGAUCCAAAGAAAAUGCUGGAAUAUCUUGAUUUUUUUUCUCAUGAAGCAUCUUUUGAGCCUGGUGUGAGUUUAAAUCCAAAGAAAAUGCUGGAAUAUCUUGAUUUUUUUUCUCAUGAAGCAUCUUUUGAGCCUAGUGUUAUACAGAGCACAUGCUGGGAUCUGACCAAGAUGAGCUAUGAAGUUCCUUCCAGCUUCAACAUCCCUUGUCUCUAGAAACCCUAAGCAUCAAGAAGAUAAGUGGCUUUCCUAAAAUGAAGGAUGAGAAAAAUUAUUCAGGAGCAAAGAGAGGCAAAAAUAAAAGGCACUUUGCUCAUUAAUAGAAUAGGAGAGGCCUCAGUGCCUGCCACUCUCCUCCCCACCCCUUCUGUCAGGCCCUGCUCUCCAAGCAACUACAUUUUGUGGGACCCAUCUUUGCUCAUUGGACCAGAGGCCAGUUCCCCACAUGAUAGGACCAUGAUGUGGAUCUGAAAAACGGAGAGGAGCUUGUUAGAUUAUUACCUUCACAAAUGCCAACUUGAGUCAGAUAAAGUCAGGGCCACAGGAAGCUGAGACCAAAUGCAAGCUGAAGUUAUGAGG
rnacentral:lncRNA from 10 species